UACGUAGGGAGCAAGCGUUGUCCGGAAUUACUGGGCGUAAAGGGUGCGUAGGCGGCGCAGUUAGUCAGAAGUGAAAUAUCGGGGCUUAACCCCGGGGCUGCUUCUGAUACUGCUGUGCUCGAGUGCAGGAGAGGUAAGUGGAAUUCCUAGUGUAGCGGUGAAAUGCAUAGAUAUCACGCAGAACUCCGAUUGCGAAGGCAGCAUACCGGCGCCCAACUGACGCUGAAGCACGAAAGCGUGGGUAUCGAACAGG
rnacentral:rRNA from 1 species